rnacentral:ncRNA from 1 species
UUUACUCCAGUGUUUCAAGAUUCAUACUAAAGGAGUACAAGGGGGUAUUUUGGCUGAGGAAGCAAUAGCCACACUAUCUUUUCCUAGGAAAAAUUCUUUUAACCAGGGCCUCAUACACUCUGUUAUUUAGAAAGACAGCCAAAUGCUUCUCAUUCCACAUGUUCAUGUUCCAUAUGUCCAUUCUGACCCACGUCUAGGGGCAAAAGUUUAGUAACUGGUUCCCUCUGAAGUUUCCCUCAGAAGAGUUGGCACUCCAUAAAGCAAAUGAUUAGAGUUCUUGGAGCCAAAACAAUCUCAACCUAUUCUCAAACUUUCAAUGGGUAUUGGGGCCAGCUCACUGGCAUGGAGCCGUGCCAUGGAAUGCUAGUGCUCAGUGGGACACUUCUGGUAGGCAGAACUGGUGCUAUGAGAUGAAUCGAACACUGGGUAAAAGCACCCAAUGCUGACAUUCAUCAGAGCCCAGAAAAGCCAUCGCCGACAGUGCGAGGCCCAUGAGGGCUAUGUCAUGACAAGCAGGAGGAUGCUGUGUUGCACGUCAAAGCCUGGGGUGUGGGCAUGGGGGGAGCUGCCACAGGUGCAGGUUUUGGUGGCAGCAGCAAAUAUUCAAAUGAGAGUUUCAAAGGCUGAAGUGGAGCAGAGUUCCAUGUGAACAGUAGUUGAACACAGGUCAGUUGGUCCUAAGUGACAGGCAAGCAUCAUUCCAAGAGGGCAGGCAAUGGCCAGCCAAUUGAAAGGGAGUUGGGUUCAGACCCCCAGAUCUGGAGUGGCAGAGAUGGAUGCUGCGAGGCACCCAAUGCAGUGAUGCAACUGAUCCUGGAGAAGCUGGCGGGAGCCCCCAGGGAGAGUUCCCUUUUCUUUGUGAAGGGCUGGGCACCUUGGAAUGGGUUUGCCCCGAGAGAGGUGCCCGUGCCUUGGAAAGCAUCGCAGUUCCUGCGGCGUCCAGUGAGCUCUUGCUGGCCCAUGAAAAUCUGGGGAAGAGGGUAUAAGUCUUGUGCCAUACCCAUACUCGCAGCAGGUCUCCAAGGGAACAGCAUCCGGCAUGUUGAAACAAUG